ACAACCCUAGUUAAAUUGGUAUAAUAUUGGUCUUGCACACCGAAGUUAUUGGUUCGAUUCCAGUGGGCUCCA
rfam:Genlisea aurea contig_2620, whole genome shotgun sequence.